UAUGCAAAUGGAGAGUAUAUAGUCAGUAAUCUUAGGUCCCCCCACCAAAUUCUAGUGGCUGCCAAUUUUGAUGAUAUCAUUUCUUUCAACUUCCAUGACGUGUUCCUACUCUAUUCCUUCUACUAUUUUAUUACUUACUAGUACUACAUUUCUUCUUCAUAAGACAUUUCUCCUCAUCUUCCUUUCAUACGAGAAAAAUAUACUGUUUUCCUCCUCAGCACAAAGAAUUCCAUUUUCUGUAAGUUCAGAUCAAUCAUGGGUGGUGACAAAACUGAAAAGACCACUAUAAUGGUGCUCAAGGUUGAUCUUCAGUGCUCCUGCUGCUAUAAGAAGGUCAAAAAAGUUCUCUGUAAAUUCCCUC